rnacentral:tRNA from 1 species
GGGGUUGUGCCUCAGUGGCAGAGCACUUGCCUAGCAUGCGUGAGGCACUGAGUUUGAUCCUCAGCACCACG